CCUACGGGUGGCAGCAGUGAGGAAUAUUGGUCAAUGGACGGGAGUCUGAACCAGCCAAGUCGCGUGCAGGAUGACGGCCCUAUGAGUUGUAAACUGCUUUUGUACGGGAAUAAUAUGUUUCACGUGUGGGGUUUUGUAUGUAUCAUAUGAAUAAGGAUCGGCUAACUCCGUGCCAGCAGCCGCGGUAAUACGGAGGAUUCGAGCGUUAUCCGGAUUUAUUGGGUUUAAAGGGUGCGUAGGUGGAUUGUUAAGUUAGAUGUCAAAGUUUGCGGCUCAACCGUGUGCCUGCCGUUGAUACUGGUAGACUAGAGAGCAGUUGAGGUAGGCGGAAUGCGUGGUGUAGCGGUGAAAUGCUUAGAUAUCACGAAGAACUCCGAUUGCGAAGGCAGUUUACUAAACUGCAACUGACGCUGAUGCACGAAAGCGUGGGUAUCGAACAGGAUUAGAUACCCGAGUAGUC
rnacentral:rRNA from 1 species